rnacentral:rRNA from 1 species
UACGUAGGGUGCGAGCGUUGUCCGGAAUUACUGGGCGUAAAGAGCUCGUAGGUGGUUUGUCACGUCGUCUGUGAAAUUCCGGGGCUUAACCUCGGGCGUGCAGGCGAUACGGGCAAUACUUGAGUGCUGUAGGGGAGACUGGAAUUCCUGGUGUAGCGGUGAAAUGCGCAGAUAUCAGGAGGAACACCAAUGGCGAAGGCAGGUCUCUGGGCAGUUACUGACGCUGAGGAGCGAAAGCAUGGGUAGCGAACAGGAUUAGAUA